GUCAAGUCAUCAUGCCCCUUAUGCCCUGGGCUACACACGUGCUACAUUGGCCGGUACAAAGGGCUGCAAACCCGCGAGGGGGAGCGAAUCCCAAAAAGCCGGUCCCGGUUCGGAUUGGAGGCUGAAACUCGCCUCCAUGAAGGCGGAGUUGCUAGUAAUCGCGGAUCAGCAAUGCCGCGGUGAAUACGUUCCCGGGCCUU
rnacentral:rRNA from 1 species